GUAGGUGAACCUGCGGAAGGAUCAUUCU
rnacentral:rRNA from 1 species